AAUUCCAAGAAGCAGAGUAGUUGUUUAAAUAAAAGAUCGUAAAAAGGCUCCAGAUUUUCGCAGUCAACAUACAAUUUUCACCAUGAAAGGAGCUAUCAAGUUUGCGUUAAUUCUUGCCCUGAUCUUGACUCUGUGGGCACAAUGUUCUACGGCUGAAGAGAAGUCUCUUAGCCGAGAGAAACGUCAAUUUGGAUUUGGCGGAUUUGGAGGCUUCAGACCAGGCUUCAGACGAGGCUAUAGACGAGGCUUCAGACGAGGUAGAUUUAGUCGACGGCGAUUUCUUGGAGGUGGAUUUGGAAGGGGAAGGUUUGGUGGUGGAAAAUUUGGGAGCUUUCGAGCAAUUGAACCACACGAGGUUUGUCUUCAUGACCUGAGGCGGAAAAUUCUCCAAAACCGGACCAGAUUUUAUCUGUUCGACGGGCGGUGGGCUUGAAGGUGUUUCACCCUUAGACUUCUUGUAUAGUUGCCCUAAAACAGGUAGGAGAGCUUUAUCAACUGACUUCUUUAUAAAGGGAAAUCAACUGGACUCUUUCAUGCCCAUUCAACAAUAAACUAUCAACAUGAGAGGAUCAAUCAAGGCAAGUUGUUGAGUGCCAAUAGAGUAACCUUGACAUCUGAUUAAUAAUGUGAGGUUUUGUGAUUACAGUUCUUAGUGGUUUUGGCUCUCCUUAUGGCCGUUUCGGUUCAGUAUUCCUCUGCCAAGGAGGACCUCUUAAGUCGAGAGAAGCGCCAAUUUGGUGGAGGAAGUUUUGGUAACGGUGGUUUCGGUGGUGGUGGAUCCGGCAGCACCGGUGGAUUUGGCAGCGGCGGAUUUGGCAGUGGUGGAUUUGGCGGCGGCAGAGGUGGCCGACGUGGUGGAUUUGGCGGCGGCAGAGGUGGCCGACGUGGUGGAUUCGGAGGUGGCGGUAGGUUUGGAGGUGGCAACCGAUUUCGCUCCCGCCCCAUCAUCCGAGCAUUGAAAAGAUUCCUCCGUCGAAAUCGCUUUUAGAGCCUUGAUCGAAUUUGAAUUGCCGCCAUAUUGUCUACGCAACAACUGAUUCCAAUUGUCUGCACCCUCCGGCUAAUUCUAAAGCAUUGAGAUCACCGUAACUACUCAAUGCACUCAUAUUCCAAAGUCAAAACUAACCUUGGUGUCAAUACUAUGUAUUGUUCAUACUGAAAUCGAAUUGCUCAAUAAUACUGGUUGUUUUCCAAAUUUGCAUCAAACU